GGGGGGCAUGUGACCCUGGUGGGCACCCCGGGCUUCAAACCCGUGUGUCUGGGCGGUUGACCGUCUGGAGGGAGGUUCGAUUCCUCCGCCUUCUCGCCA
rnacentral:tRNA from 1 species